GUUCGCUAUGGUUAUUGUUGUUCCUGUGCUCCUUGUUUCUCACUAAGGCACUCAUUGCAAAUCAUAUCGAACGCUUCAGGAGAGGCCAUGAGAGAUGGGGGUGACAUUUUUGCGUACCUGCCAACAGCAGCAGUUUUGGUUUGUUCAUGUUCCAGCUGUCCCUCACUCCUGUGCCUGCACGCAGACCCAGGAUGGGCUUUCACAGCCUCCAAUGGAGUUGGCCAUGAAUGCGGUUUUCUUGCAGAGCUGAACAGGAAAGCUGUGGUUUGCUGCCGUGCGUAUGAGCUAAACCAGCGUGUGCAUGAGGUGGAGACUGGAGAAGAUGACGUGUGAAAUUGCUGGAAAAAUAGGACUGGGAAGGAGAAACACACAACACUCGGAGU